rnacentral:pre_miRNA from 1 species
UUGAAUCAAAUUUGUGUGUAUUUUGAACGUUUGCCUACGUUUGCCGCUAGGGGUGCUGUUCCAACUGCAUACAAAUUUGAGUAA